rnacentral:rRNA from 1 species
AGAGUUGAUCCUGGCUUAGGAUGAACGCUAGCGGCAGGCUUAACACAUGCAAGUCGAGGGGCAGCGUGGAGUAGCAAUACUCUGACGGCGACCGGCGAAAGGGUGAGUAACGCGUGAGCAACAUGCCCGGUAGUGGAGAAUAGUCGAUGGAAACGUCGCGUAAUACUCCGUAACAUAGAGAACCGCAUGAUUUUCUAUUAAUAGAUUUAUCGCUACCGGAUUGGCUCGCGUACCAUUAGCUAGUUGGCGGGGUAACGGCCCACCAAGGCGACGAUGGUUAGGGGUUCUGAGAGGAAGGUCCCCCCACAUUGGAACUGAGACACGGUCCAGACUCCUACGGGAGGCAGCAGUGAGGAAUAUUGGACAAUGGCCGAGAGGCUGAUCCAGCCAUGCCGCGUGCGGGAAAGACGGCCCUAUGGGUUGUAAACCGCUUUUGUUGGGGAGCAAUAAGGUCCACGCGUGGAUCGAUGAGAGUACCCAGCGAAUAAGCAUCGGCUAACUCCGUGCCAGCAGCAGC